CCUCCUCCCAUGUUUCUGCUCUGUCAGCACUUCUGAGCAGCCAGAGAGCAAAGUCUCCAUAUCCCCUGCACUGCUCCCACGCCCCCACAUUUGCCUUCAUUGUUCUGACCCCCCUAUAUCCCCUGGCUCUGCACCAAAAAAAGUAUGAGAAGCUGUAAAUGUUAUGAGCAGUUGAUGUUAGAGGGCGGGGAGGCUGUGUAUCAGGAACCCUUCAAACAACUCAGCAUCUUGCCUUCCUUUUGAUCCCACUUAGUUCCAUUCUAUGGAAGCAGGUGAAGAUUAUGAAUCAUGAAUACGUUACCCUAACCACUUACAUUCUUUCAUCUUCUAUUUAGUACCAAUUUCCUUGAUAAUAUUUUUAAAGUAAAAUCAGAGUCUGAAUGUGAAUUUUAGAGCAUCUCUCAUUCAAAUAUUACUCUUAAACUAGAAAUUUUGGUUUCAGGGCAAAAAACUUUCCUGCACAAUGCAGUCAGAGAUCAAGGACACACACGUAACACAUUCUCUAAAAGCCGCUAAUGGUAGGGCUCCAAUUCACAUUGCCUGGGUGCAGCUCAGGUUCAGUCACCACAGCAUGUAACUCAGUUACUGUGACAACAGACUGCCUACCAUCCUUCUGGCUUCAACAGAGCCCUAGCCUUGCUGCAGAUGUGCAUUUCACUCUUGGGUUCAUCAGUCUGGCAUGCACUGAACUGUAGUUACAAACUUUAUUCUUAGUAACUUUCAGUGUGGCUUCCCCAGAGGGGCAAUGGGUCCCAUGCAUUAGCUAAAAUAAAUCCUCAGUGACUGAGCUCAGUUUGGGGAGAACCAGAGCCAGAGUUUGAACCCUAGGUGCAAAAAUAGUUAGAUGAACCAGGAGAUUUGUUUUGGAUACGGGAGCCUCUCACUCAAAUGACCACAAGUUUAGACCUCUAACACCCCAGCACCCUCAUAAGACACAGCAUAUUUAAAGACAAUCUAACUAAGCAUGAAGAUUUUGAGAACUUACAAUAGUCAUUCCUUAAACAGCAACAUUCAACCUUAACUUAAGCAGAGCUGAUGCUCUGCUAGACUAAAGUAUGUUAAGGGAGAAACUUGUUGCUACAUAAAAUUCUCUUAUUUUCCUCAGUCACUAACAUUUGUACUUCAAAGUCUCUGUAUCUUUCUUCUUCUCAGUUUUGUGUAUUUUUCAAGUAAGAAUUAUGCAAUACAC